UACGUAGGGGGCGAACGUUGCUCGGAAUUACUGGGCGUAAAGGGUGCGUAGGCGGCUGAGCAAGUCACGGAUGAAAUCCCGCGGCUCAACUGCGGAACUGUCCUUGAAACUGCUCAGCUUGAGGAUAGUCGAAGAGCACGGAAUUCCCGGUGGAGCGGUGAAAUGCGUAGAUAUCGGGAGGAACACCUGAGGCGAAAGCGGUGCUCUAGGCUACUCCUGACGCUGAGGCACGAAAGCUAGGGGAGCGAACGGG
rnacentral:rRNA from 1 species